GGGCGCCACCCUGGGGGUUGAUGUGCUGUGGGUCAGGGGCUAAUACUGGAGAAAGAAUUCUUGAGACGUUUUUGGUGGAAGAAGGACAACAUUGGAAACAGUGGUUAUUUUACCAAGGCUUCGACUGGAAUGACUUACUUGAGAAAGACAUGCAUAGACUCAGAUAUGACCAAACAGCUUUAAGGAACUAAAGUUGACUUUAUGAAACAUGGAGCCAUAAAGCCCCUUGGAAAUGUUGGCCUGACAUCUUACUUAUAGAGUUCCCAGUAGCUGUA
rnacentral:lncRNA from 1 species